AGAGUUUGGAUUCCAUGGCUCAGAGUGAACGCUGGCGGUAGGCCUAACACAUGCAAGUCGAACGGCAGCACAGGAGAGCUUGCUCUCUGGGUGGCGAGUGGCGGACGGGUGAGGAAUACAUCGGAAUCUACCUUUUCGUGGGGGAUAACGUAGGGAAACUUACGCUAAUACCGCAUAAGACCUUCGGGUGAAAGCCGGGGACCUUCGGGCCUGGCGCGGAUAGAUGAGCCGAUGUCGGAUUAGCUUGUUGGCGGGGUAAAAGCCCACCAAGGCGACGAUCCGUAGCUGGUCUGAGAGGAUGAUCAGCCACACUGGAACUGAGACACGGUCCAGACUCCUACGGGAGGCAGCAGUGGGGAAUAUUGGACAAUGGGCGCAAGCCUGAUCCAGCCAUACCGCGUGGGUGAAGAAGGCCUUCGGGUUGUAAAGCCCUUUUGUUGGGAAAGAAAUCCUGCCGGUUAAUAACCAGUAGGGAUGACGGUACCCAAAGAAUAGC
rnacentral:rRNA from 1 species